UCUUUCUGAUUAGGGUUUGUUAUUCCCUUCGUCAGCUUCUUUUUUGCGUCCUUCCAGCUUUUGAUUGAAUUUUCAGAGGCAUGUACUAUUGAUUGAUUAUAUUUAGAUUUAAUGUUUUGGGUCGAUUCCAUCAGACGUCUAAUGUUUGAUCUUCAUUAAUUUGAGUUCAAUUCAUUGUUCAAGUCCGGUGGACGGAUUUUCAAGCGUACGUGGGAUGCUGAUUGCUGUAAAAACGAGGGAUCUGGUUUUCUUUUGCAUCGACUAGCUGAUGAUAAGAUAUAAAAGCUGAUGAACAUGUAAGGGUUCUUUGAUUCUUUCAUCUGCACAUAUUUUAUGUUGCAGUUUGCAGGGACUCUGAUUGGCAUCAACUACGGCUGAUGAAAGGAAAGCUUAUGCCAUGGAACCGUAUUUGUGCUAGCUGAAGUGAACGAGAACGUGUAAGGGUUCUUUGAUGUAUAGAUGAUUCAAGAUGUCAAGACUGUGGAACUACUAUUUGAGAUGGAAGUUCCUCUGUUUCUUAGACAAUCUUUUGUGUCAUUCUGUCUGACCUUUGCCAUGUCAGGUGCGCUUGCUUGGCAGGUCCUUCAUUUAAUAAAGAUACAUUUUUUUAGGGGGGUGGGACAGCGCACGGUAUUGACCGGGUUUCCCCCCUCCUGUGUUGUGUGUGUGUUUCUUUCUUGCUUCUCUUCCUUUUUCAUGCAUUCCAUCUUCCAUUCGCAUUAAACAUUCUCCAAAAAGGUAAGAAGUAACAAAAAUAUAGCACCAGCUUGCUUGUUAGCACAUCUCAUAAUAAGCGGUACAUAACAAAAGAGACUCCACUUCAAAUUACCAGAUUCCAUCUUUUCCAUGGAAGAACAGAAUGCAACUGCUUAGUUGCCAAUGCAUGAUGCAGGUAUUUCUAACUCAAUAUAUUAAUCAUUGUAUAUUAAAUUCUCCACUUUAUUGGGACUUAAUGAAAUGAACCACAUUAAAGAUUCUCAUCUUCUUAUACAUGUAUACCUAACCCAUCAAUGAUUAACAAGCAUAUAUAGAUUCUCAAAAGAAACCUUAAUUAUAAUAGUGCAGUUUAUCUCUGACUUGGAACAAGAACUCUUCUUUCAUUCAUUGUUGGCUAAACUCAAUCAACUAUAUGCUGGUAAUGAGAUCUUAUUUUCUAUGGAAGUGCACACAUAAUCAUUGUACAGGGUUGCAAAGGCUGAAAAAUGUUGACACAAAUCUUCAAUUCUUUCUCUGCAAUGAGCGACUUUGGGGAGUUGGGUCCCCAUACGAAAACCCUUCUAACUGCAAUGAUGGUCAUCAAAUUAUUGAAGUUGAUUUUCUUUAUAAUCAGAUGAUGGGGUUUCCAACAUUUUAAUAGAUAUUGAGAAGGAGAAAGAUUUAAUUUGUAAUUUGAUUACUGUGUUCAGAGGUUGAGGUGGGAACUAAUAAUACUAAAAUCCAAGCACCGAGUUUGAUCUGAGCAGGGCGUACCAUUAAAUUUCUUCAUAUGGUUUAUUAUUAUCAUUUGCAUAAUCAUACUGAACUUCUUUUAUAAUUCUUAAUCUGUAUGCAAUCAAUUAAUAUUUAUGUUUCUCUUGGUGGAGGAGUCUCCACUCCAGUCUAUUAUCUUAAUACAAUUAUUUUAGUGUGCUUUUUAAGGAUAUUUUGGUCAAUGUUAUAUUAUAUUCGGAAAAUUGCAAUUACUGGAGGAGUUAGGCUGUAGUGUUGUAAAGAGUAGAUAGUAUGGCAAAUCUUGGACCUUUGUUGCUGGUUUACAAGCAUAUGAGGAUUUAUGUUUCCUGGUCCAGAAGAUUUCAAUUUCAUAUGCUGAAGUUAUUGAUGCUGAAUCAGACAACUUUUGAGAAUGAGAACUUCAACUUUUAAGGUGAUUGUGUACUCUUUUGAAGUUGCCUAUUAUUUGAUAUAAUACCAAAUUUAUUUUUGUAUCGACUAAUGGUCAUUUACUUUGUUGUGUAGAUAGAGUUCAUUACCAAACUUUAAUCUUAGAAAUAAAUACAUUUUGUUUCAAACAUUUUAUGCAGAAAGCAGUUCAGGAACACCAUUUUCAUGAAUGAGGUGAUUGAUAAGUUUUUUCCUGAGGAGUUUUGAAAAAAAUUAAGAUCGAAAUUGGAUGAAAAGCAUUCAAAAUAAAAGAUGGCAAGUUUUUAUUGUUGCCCUAGUGUAUCAGUUGACUUCUCAAAUAAAACUUACUUUUAGCUUCUUAUAUAACCUGUUGAUGAGAGAGUCAGGUACUAAGUAUGAGACAUUAGAAUCAACCUGAAGGUCCAUGGUGAUCCAACUGCACAUCAUGUUGAAUGGUGAUUUGAAACUAAACAACACGAGUACAAGGUUCAAUGGCGAUCCAAACUAAACAGCACUAGUAAACAAAGUAGGGCAGUCUCUUCUUGGGUACAGGAACAAACAUGAGAAAACCAGGGUGUAAUUAGGGAGGCUACAUAAAGGAAGGAUCUUUUAUGCUUUCAAAAAUAAGUCCAAUUUGCGAUGGUCUGAGUUGAUGUCCAGAUUUUUUGGGGGUUUGAUGGUUUGAUUGUUGGGCAUGAGAAGGAAGAGCAGAAUGAAUCAAAUUUUAGUCUUGGAAUCUGGACAGGUUCCAAAUUUUGGUUAAGUCUCCUCCUAUCAUUAAAUGUGCUCUUCAUUGAAACUUUUAGGACUAGACUAAAAUCUAUAUCUUUACUUGCUCUUCUGAUUCAGAUUUUUAAUUAUCAUGAAGACAUCUCAAGCUUUAGGGGAUUUAAAAAAAAUAAUAAUUACUAUUAUGUAUUUUGCUUUAUUAUUGAUACCCCACAUGCAUAAAUUAGAUUAUUUUUAUCUCGUAUUUUCAUCAAGUAUAAUGAAUGGUUUAUAAGAGUUUCCUUGAUAAGCAAGGAUUGCAUUGACACUAGGUCUGUAAGCUCUAAAUGGGAAGAGUUCUCUCAGACUGACUGUGAGGUUGUGGUGGUUCGAUUCCGCCUGGAUCUUUUUCUAUCUAUUAAUUACUUCUACACAAACAAUGCAAUUUCAUCUGCCAAUUUUAUCUUAUAAUGUUUGCUUAUUAGGGUUUUCCAACAUUUGUAAUUUGACAUAGAACAAGAACUCAUCAUUCAUUCAUGAUUGGCUAUACUCACAAUCAACCAUAUCCUGGUAAUGAGAUCUUAUUUUCUAUGAAAGUGCACACAUAAUCAUUGUACAGGAUUUCAAAGGCUGAGAAAUGUUGCAUACAUUAUCUUUUCAUCGCCAAGAGUGGAAUGCAGAUUGACGAAUGAAGUGUUUUGUGCAUGCCACGGAUCAGUCAACAACAUAGGAGAAAACCAGGCUGUAAUUAGGAAGACUCUCCUCCAUAAAGGAAGGAUCUUUUAUGCUCAAUUUGCUGAUGGUCUAGGUUGAUGUCUAGAUUUGUCGGAGAAUUUAAUGGUUUGAUUGUUGGGGGUGUGAGAAGGAAGAGACUGCAAAUUUUGGUUAGUCCCCUACCACUAAAUGUCUUCAUUGCAAUUAUUUACAACUACAAUUUAUCUAUCUCUAUACACUUUUGGUUCAAAUCUUUUAUUAUCAUGAAAUCAAUUAUCUCAAGGUUUAGAAAAAGAAAAUAAUAAUAAUUAUUAUG